rnacentral:lncRNA from 1 species
UUUUUUUUUGGCUUUUUUUGGCUUUUCUAGGGCCGCUCCCGAGGCAUAUGGAGUGGCCCAAGAAAUGGCAAAAAAACCAAAAAAAAGCCCCCCCCCCCCAAAAAAAAAAGUUCGGACCCACAACCAGUAUUAUUUCUCAAGAAGUAAAUUUUUAAAAUUCCUACCUGGUACAAGGAAAGAAAAAUCUACCAGCAUUUUGAUCUUGACCCUAAAAUAAGAAGUUUUUGUUCUAUGGAACUACUGAGAAGAGUAACUUCUGCAUCCCUUCCCCCAAGAAAAGAGUAACUUUCAUUCCUGAGGUGGAACACAGAGUGCUCUUUUUUCCUGCUUCCAGGUAGGACAUAUACCUGGAUCACAGCCCAAUUACCUCCUAAAAACAGGUGUGUAAGUUUAGCUUCUUUCCCAAUCAUUGGCACUUCGAAGUAAAUAUUUUAGCUUUGUGCCAAGAUCUAAUUAAUGGGAGAAAUACAAUAUUAAAAAGCCCAACCACAGCUGCACACAAGUAGAGCUUGAUCAAAAACAGAUAAUAUUUUUAUCUCCAUCUGUCUGACUCCUGCAUCUACCACUCAAGUGGUUCUGAACUUAGGGAGAAAUUAAGGAGAAUAAGUCAAUUCCAAUAGCAUAUAAAACUGAGUAUCAUUUUUACACAUUUUCAGUUAAUUUAUCUACCGAAACAUUAGGUUAUGGUUUAAGAAACUGUAUCAGGUUCCCUUACCUGCUGUUUAUCUUGUAAUGCAUUUUGAGCUGUGUCCAAAUGAUUUUGAAGAUCUGCUCUUUGAGCAGUUUUUGCUGCUUCUGCUGAUAGUACUAAUUCAGUUUUGGCUUUAAUCUGUAACAAAAUUUACACGUCAUUUAGUUUAUAUUUAAUUCUUGGUUUCCCCCUUGCCUGAGUGUACAUGACUUCUGUCACUAAAUAAUUUAAAAAAUUAAAUCUUUUGUCAGAAAACAUAAAGAUUCAGACAUUAAGAAAAUAAGCAUGUGAUAAUUCCCCAAACAGGAAUAAAUAAGGGAGGAGAUUCCUAAUGUUUGGAUAAAAGAUAAAAAAAUAAAUCCCUAUAUAACACCAAAACACUCUUCCCUCUGUCAAACUGGACAUCCAUACACUGAAUGAUCUGAUACUCAACUAACAAAUUCUAUUUUUUGAAAAAUGAAAUGGGUAUCCUCUUUUCUCCGAAUUUGAGUAACUUAUUGUAUUAUUUCUGAUUUUCAAUGGAAUUAUUCUCCUAAAAAAAAGAAAAUUAAGGGUUAGAAGUGUUUCUAUAACUUUCUCUACUACAAUAGAGUAAGAAACCAAUGAUGAGAAUGGAGAAAGAAGUAUGUCUUCAUUUCCACUCCUCACUGAGCAAGAUUUCCAUAUUGGGCUUCUGAAAGAAAAUAUACUAAUAUGCAUAAUGGUAUCAUAUAAGGGUGUUUUUAAUCAAAACUUUAAAGUAAAAUUUAAAAAUCAAAUUCAAAAUAAUUCAAAGAAAUGUAACAGAAACCUAAAUGGUAUAAUAUCAAAUUGCUUUAAACGUCAAAAACAACAAAAAGGGAUUCAUGAAAACAGAGAGAAGUGAAAAGACCUGGUGGUUUCAGGAGGAGAGAAAGAGGAUGGGAGGGGGAGGGGAGAGGGAGAGAAUGAGAGAGAGAGGCAAACAGGAAAGCUCAACACACUUUCAAAAUAGAACCUUUAUUUAAUUCCUAUUCCUAAUCAUUUUUCCAUUAAUAAGCAAGGCAGGGGAGCAGGGUAGGGAGGGGAGAGAAACAGUUUAAAAUGCGAUGGCCUAAAACUGAUGCUUUUUUCAUGCAGACUUCAUAUUACGUCGCAUAAUUCAAUAUUACCUGUAUGUCAAGCUGGGAGACCUUCUCCUUGCUUUC